AGAUUUAUAACUUAAUAAUUAAAGUAUAUGAAUACGAAGCAUAAAAUAAAGGUUAAAAUCCUUUUAAAUCUA
rfam:Babesia microti strain RI apicoplast complete genome